rfam:TPA: Bos taurus chromosome 5, whole genome shotgun sequence.
UCCCUGGUUGUCCAGUGGCUAAGACUCUGAGGUCCCAAUGCAGUGGGCCUGGGUUCGAUUCCUUGUCAGGGAA